rnacentral:lncRNA from 1 species
UUUUCCUUCAAAACCUAAACAAAUUCCUUCUCAAGACGCUUUAUUAUUUGUGAAUAAAGAUUCAGUUUUGAACAAUUUAUUUGUUAUUUCAGGCCGUUAUCAUACACGGGUUUUUGUUUAAAAUGGGUUUUUUGACAUUAAAUAUGAAUUUGAUGCCAGUGUCUCGAAUUGGGUUUAUUUGAUGUCCGAUAUUUGUUACGUGUGUGGUUUUAUUUCAAUAUUAUAAACACGAAUCCUCCUAAAUUGAAUGCCAUAUUGUGUUCUUUAACAAAAGAAUUUAUUUUGAAUUGUAAUUUUCAGGGUUGAAAUGCUAAAUGCAGAAUCUCCAGAAUUCAAGUCUCUUUUAUAUUCUUGAAUCAAUCUUUGAUUUUUUUACUUUUGAAUUUUGGACUUUAGGCCAUUAGCUCAAUUAGGUGCAUUCCAGUCUCUACUUCCUCUCCACACAGCGGUCUCCUCUGCUCGGCUUACGUCGUGCCUUGGCACCGACACCAAAGGCUGCAGGUCGCUGUCUCAGGGUAUGCUCUGCAGUGCCAACCCUGGAGUUUGAUAUAUUUUCUAAUGUUUCUGUAAGCAUACCACUUUUGUCUUUCAUAGUUCCUGCCAAGUUGGUAUAUUUCUUGUCUCUCUCUAUCUUUCUCUCAUUUUUUAUUUUUUUAUGGGUAAAUUCCUCAUGUUUUCACUGUUUACAUGAACUUUAUCUGGGAUUGAUACAAGCAUGAUUGGCUCUGCUUAAUAUUACUUCUUUAGAUAGUAAGUAUAUGAUACUAAGUUUUGUUAAUAAAAAAAGUAACUUAAAGAAAGUAUGACUUACUUCUAAUGAGCCACUUUUGUGCAUAACAUAUAUUUCAUAGGUAAUUUUCUAGUUUAACUAAAUUGAAACAUAGAGAGAGAUAGAAUAAAGUAUGGCGUAUUGUGACAUGUAUGUGGAGAGUAAGUGAUUAAUAAACAUAAUUUCAGAAUCAAUAAUGGGAAAGCUGAAAGCGCCUUAUGUGGGUAUUUUUUGUCUGCAUUGUGCAUGGUAUGGCUCUGCUUCCAAUUGUAACAUAUCUUUGCAUCAAGUUCUCAUAUAUUUUGACUCCUUGCUGGAUGCUAAAAUCGUUGCCUAUGCUGGUCGCCUGUUCAAUUUUGUUAAAGUUUUAACUUCAUAGCAGUUUGGCAACUUGUGCUACUGAUUCUAGAUAUCUAUAUCGGGAAACUAGGGGUGACGAAAGGUCCGAGUAGUUUGUCGUCUUAGCUCAUCAAAGCUCGGCCCAUGGACAGCUUGAGCUCGUUUUGGGAUGAGCUCGAGCCGGAGCUGAGCGGGGUUUCGCUCCCAUAUAAAAAAUGUGAAAAAAAAAGUCCAAAAAUUUUAAAAUUUUAAAAAGUAAAAAUAAAUAAAAACUCACGAGCUCGUUGGCUCAGCUCGGCUCGUGAACUCACGAGGUCAUGGAUAGAUGGGCCGAGCCGAGCGACCAGCUCGGCCCAUUGGCAUCACUACGGGAAAUUAUCUUGUUCCAAAUGAAAUGUCUGGGUUUGACACACAGCAAUUAAUAAUGUGAGAUUAUAAUUUCUUCUUUCUUUUUUGGACAUUUAGAGAUUUUUGGCAAAAUAGUAAUUUAGGUGUUAAUUGUUGAUGCGGUGCAUAUACAAGGAAAAGGAAAAUUGGUAAUUAUUCCGGGGGAAGGCUUUCAAGCCUUUUUUUUUUUUGGAAUUUGAAGUUUUGGAUGUAGGUGUUAUUUUAUUUUCUGAAACUGUUAUAGUGUAUAUUUCAGUUCAUUUAACUUAGGUCUUAAAUUUGUUUUGUUGAAUUAUAAUUUUGCAGUGCGUGGUUGUGAUGUAGUAAGCUGUUGAGAUCACUAAUUUGAUUCUCUAGCGUCUCAGGAGUUUCAAAUCAAAAGCAGUAUCUUUUAACUUCCUUUUUUCUUUUCUUUUUUCAUUUUAGUCACAACUUCUAUUCAUAUAUUUCAAAUCACAAAAUCCCAACGGCCAAUAGAUCCCUAAUCAACAUUUUGAACUGCUACAUUUAUCUUUAUUACAUAAACAUCCGAGAAAGUGACGAGUUUGAUGUCUUAAUGAGCGAUUUUGCCCAAGUCUUGGGAAAGUAAAUCAAUUUUCUCCUUUCUCUCCUCUCCUCAGAAUUCACCAAAUUUUUAUUCUCUCUUGCUGUUCGUUAUGCAAAAUUACCUUUAUUUGAUCCAUUUAAUCACUAGGUAAUAUAGCUCAAUCAUCACCAACAAAAGACAUUAUGUAUGUACACUUAGUGCAUGUUGCGUAUACAAUACUCGAUAGAACCUGAAUUCUGGCUUUGGGGGAAAUGGGAAACCAUUUAAACUUGAUUACUAAGAGCCAUCUAGCAUUUCUUUUUCUGUAUAGUUGAAUUUUGUGCAUGUUUGAUGAAUCCUUUAACUCCCAAUUCGGUUGCCUUACUAGGUUUAACCAGAAUUACCUCUUGAUUUUGAUAUGCUCUAAAUAGGUCGACUCCUAUCCCCCUGUCGAAGGGAAACCCAUCCCUAGGUCGUUGCCCGUGAAUCUAAAAAUCAUGCUGCAACAGAAGGAUGGUCUCUUGUGCAUUUCAUUGUUUUCCAAGGGAAAUAAAUGUUUUUGCAUCGUAGUGUAGUCAUAAGAAUGGAUUAACCGAGAAUCCUAUGUUAUCCUCUCUUUUUUCUCUUUUUUUUUUUUUUUUCCCCUCUUUUGGGAAAGUAAUCCUUAUGCUACUUUCGAAAUUUUGACAUAUAAGGAAAGAAAAUAAUUAAUCCAAACAUGUUCAGAAGCAAAAAAUUUUUGCUACCCCUGGAACUAGUCAUGUUGAAGUACUCUCAUUCUUUAGAACUAGUCAUUUUAUUUGUUAUAGACAGCUUUAGCACGUUGCAUAAGAGCCUCUUGCCAGUUUUUUCUCACUAGUUUUGACUAUUUUUCAGUUGCAUUGUUUAUGAAAGGUUGAAAAAAUCAGUACUUUCUAGUUUUUGGGAUCAGUGUAGAGUAAUUUGGGUGGUACUUCUAAACCCCCUUUCUCCAUUUUUCUUCCAAUUUUAUCCUCUAAAACAGUUAUUUCCAAAUUGAAAUUACACAAGGCCAGAUCCAAGUUACAGAAAAUUCACUUCUCAUAAAAUCAAACACAGAUAUCAGCAAAUUAACCUGCCAAAGCAACCCAUAUUCAAAAUUAGUGCCAAAUGCUAAAUUAUGCAUGCCCAAUGCUGAAUUUCAUUAAAUUAAGAUAUUAUUAUACUAAACCAAUUACCAGUAUACAAAAAUGAAACAAAAAGGUCACAAUAAUCUUGAUAAAUCGAACAUAGAAAAUACAUAAAAUCCAGAAAUAGGGCAAGAACGUUAUAGCAUUGGGACACCAUGGGACUAGGAGGUAAAUUUCAGGUUGAACUUGUGAAGUUUCUAGCAUGGGUACUAAAAACCACCGGAUAAUAAACUUUCAAACAUGGGUUGGAUUGUUUUAAAAAUCGCGACUAAAAAUCACCCCUAAUCGGACCCCUCACAUACACCCAAAACCAGUACCCUAAAACUUCCAAGCAGGCUUGUUUUUUGUAUGGUUCCUUACAUUUAUUUCUCUGCUGAAUUUCUUGAAACAAUUUGCUUUUUAUCAACAUAAUGUAUGAAAAUCAAUGUGGAACAAUAGAUAUUCACUCAAUAAUCAAGUGGCUCGUAGGAAUGGGAUCGAUUAUUCACUCAAUAGAAUUUUUUUUCUUUCAUUUAGUCGAUUAGUUGUGUGUGGAGUAUUUUGCUUUGGAAUUGCCUUGAAAGUCAUCAUUUGCUUAUGUAUUGAUUCUCUCUUUUUUCAGAAUUAGGUCUCUGCGUGCCGCGAUAAGAGACUAAUUGUCAAAGGUGGACGAAGUUAUUUGAUCAACGAUUUGGGACUUCCCUUUUGAUAUAUGUGAUUUUCACUUUUAUCCAAGUGAAAUAAAUUCUUGACAAUUUUCUAUAACGCAUACAUUGAUGAAAAUCUCGGAUUGGUCUUAUUUUUGUUGGCAUCUUAAAUAGAAAGAUUUCAGUUCAUUUCAUAUGAUCUUGCAAUACUAAUUCAAUACUUGAGCAUGUUUACGGGUAAAAAUCCAUGAAUUAGUAAUAUUUCCAAUACCUCUCUGAUAAGAGUCUGGGUCGUGUCCCAAUCUCAUUGUGGUCGAUUAUG